GACGAACGCUGGCGGCGCGCCUAACACAUGCCAGUCGAACGGUGAAGAGGAGCUUGCUCCUCGGAACAGUGGCGGACGGGUGAGUAACACGUGAGCAACCUGGCUCUAAGAGGGGGACAACAGUUGGAAACGACUGCUAAUACCGCAUGACGUAUCGGGAUGGCAUCUUCCUGAUACCAAAGAUUUUAUCGCUUAGAGAUGGGCUCGCGUCUGAUUAGAUAGUUGGCGGGGUAACGGCCCACCAAGUCGACGAUCAGUAGCCGGACUGAGAGGUUGAACGGCCACAUUGGGACUGAGACACGGCCCAGACUCCUACGGGAGGCAGCAGUGGGGGAUAUUGGACAAUGGGGGCAACCCUGAUCCAGCGACGCCGCGUGAGGGAAGAAGGUUUUCGGAUUGUAAACCUCUGUUGACGGAGAAAAAAAUGAUGGUAUCCGUUUAGAAAGCCACGGCUAACUACGUG
rnacentral:rRNA from 1 species